rnacentral:rRNA from 1 species
CCGACCUCUUGCAAUAUGAAUAAGAGGUCCCGCCUGCCCUGUGACUAUUAGUUUAACGGCCGCGGUAUUUUGACCGCGCGAAGGUAGCGCAAUCACUUGUCUCUUAAAUGGAGACCUGUAUGAAUGGCACGACGAGGGCUUAGCUGUCUCCUCCCCUAAGUUAAUGAAAUUGAUCUUUCCGUGCAGAAGCGGGAAUAAACACAUAAGACGAGAAGACCCUAUGAAGCUUUAGACGUAAGGUAGACCAGACUACAAAGACCCCCUAAUAAGGGCACAAACCAAAAGGACCCCUACCCCGAUGUCUUUGGUUGGGGCGACCGCGGGGAAAGAAAAAACCCCCACGUAGAACAGGAGUACAACUCCUUAAACUCAGAGCCACAGCUCUAAGAAACAAAAUUUUUGACCUAAAGAUCCGGCAAUGCCGAUCAACGGACCGAGUUACUCUAGGGAUAACAGCGCAAUCCCCUUUUAGAGACCAUAUCAACAAGGGGGUUUACGACCUCGAUGUUGGAUCAGGACAUCCUAUUGGUGCAGCAGCUAUUAAGGGUUCGUUUGUUCAACGAUUAAAGUCCU